CACUGCUCAUGAAACUAGUAAAUAUCCUCCCUCUUGUAAUUUUCUAUUAAAAAUUUUAUCUUUCUCUGGUUCCAGCAAAGGCUUUACAAUGAUUUGCUCAAGACUUAGUUUUGACUCUCAGAGGCGUUUAACCCAUGGUAAGAGGAAUGCACAGAUAGAAAGCCUGUAAGAGUGGACUCCAAAUGCAAGGCUACGUCAAUACAGGCAUCACAUGUGAGUUCCAAUCUCCGGAACUUCCAGAGCAAAUGGGCUUGCCUCUCUGGGCAGUUGAAAUAACACUUGAGCCUCGCAACUGGAUGGUAGCCCUUCCCAACAUGGAGAGUCAGGGUAAUUAGCAUCACAUCUGAAGCCUCCUCUUCUUUCAGGAAAAAGAAAAGCGAGGCUGUUUGUUUGGCUGUGGGAAAGCCAAACACUCUGCUCAAAGACAAGCUUUCAGUCAAAUUGGAAGUUGAUGCAGGCUCCACAUGGUGGCAAGAUGGCAGCCAAGAAGCACCCCACCCCAUUCUCCUAUGUUCCAGUCCAAAAUUAAAGUGAAAGUCCCGACCCUGAUACUCAUUAGUCUGAAGAUGGUCAAAUGCCCAUCCGUGAACUUAUUA